GAAACAAGUCAAACAGAGAAAACAACAGAAACACAUACUGGACUUGGCUAAGGUGUGCUUUUGGGACAAUUACUGACAUAAAGAAGACUUCAGUGAAACUACCACAUUGUAUUUAAUUAUUUCAGGGGGGGUGAAGAGAUGGAAGAAAAAAGGACCAGAAGGAGAAUGCUGCUGUUGUGUUUAGCUGUGCUAACAACAUCGAUAACUGCGCAAACAACCAUAGAGGCUCCAACAACAACCACAGCUGCACCUACAACUACAACAGAGGCUCCAACAACAAUAACAGCCGCUCCUACUACAACCACAGCUUCUGCCACUACAACCACAGCUGAACCUACAACUACCACAGAGGCUCCAACAACAACCACAGCUUCUGCCACUACAACCACAGCUGGCCCUACAACUACAACAGAGGC